AUUGAACGCUAGCGGGAUGCUUUACACAUGCAAGUCGAACGAGUGGCGGACGGGUGAGUAAUAUAGCUGAACGUGCCCAGUAGCGGGGGAUCACUACUCGAAAGAGUGGCUAAUACCGCAUACUCUUAGAGCGGGCGAUAGCGGAUUAGCUAGUUGGUGGGGUAAACGAGCACCACGGCAACGAUCCGUAGCUGGUUUUAGAGGACGACAAUCCAAACUGGGAGUGAGACACGUCCUAGACUCCGACUGGAGGCAGCAGUGGGGAAUUUUGGACAAUGGGGAAAACCGUAGCCCGCCAUCCCGCGUCUAUUAGAAGGCCUUCGGGUUGGAAAGUACUUGUGGCAGAUAAGCGGUAUCUUCAGAAUAAGGACCGGCUAACUACGUGCCAGCAGCCGCGGUAAUAC
rnacentral:rRNA from 1 species